AUUGAACGCUGGCGGCAGGCCUAACACAUGCAAGUCGAACGAGUGGCGGACGGGUGAGUAAGGUCUGGGAAACUGCCUGAUGGAGGGGGAUAACUACUGGAAACGGUAGCUAAUACCGCAUACCAUUGGAUGUGCCCUGAUGGGAUUCGCUAGUAGGUGGGGUAAAGGCUCACCUAGGCGACGAUCCCGAGCUGUGCUGAGAGGAUGACCAGCCACACUGGAACUGAGACACGUUCAUGACUCCUCCGAGAGACAACAGGGGGGAAUUUUGCAUAAUGGGCGCAAGCCUGAUGCAGCCAUGCCGCGUGUAUGAAGGAGGCCUUGGGUUUCUAAAGUACUUUGAGCGGGGAGGAGUUACCCGCAAAAGAAGCACCGGCUAACUCCGUGCCAGCAGCCGCGGUAAUUC
rnacentral:rRNA from 1 species